rnacentral:rRNA from 1 species
UACGUAGGGGGCAAGCGUUGUCCGGAUUUAUUGGGCGUAAAGAGCGUGUAGGCGGCCUGACAGGUCUGCUGUGAAAACUCAAGGCUCAACCUCGAGAUGUCGGCGGAAACCGUCUGGCUAGAGUCCGGAAGAGGAGAGUGGAAUUCCUGGUAUAGCGGUGAAAUGCGCAGAUAUCAGGAAGAACACCUAUGGCGAAGGCGGGUCUCUGGGCCGAUACUGACGCUGAGGAGCGAAAGCGUGGGGAGCGAACAGG